GAACGCUCGGUGAGAGGCGGAGGAGCGGUAACUACCCCGGCUGCGCACAGCUCGGCGCUCCUUCCCGCUCCCUCACACACCGGCCUCAGCCCGCACCGGCAUGAAAGAUGGCCAGAAGAUAACAUUCCAUGGUGAAGGAGACCAAGAACCAGGACUGGAGCCAGGCGAUAUUAUCAUUGUGUUAGAUCAGAAGGACCAUGCUGUUUUUACUCGUAGAGAUGGGGUUUCACCAUGUUGGCCAGGCUGGUCUUGAACUUCAGACCUUAGGUGAUCCACCCUCCUCAGCCUCCCAAACUGCUGGAAUUACAGAUGCGAACCACAGUGCCUGGCCUAACCCUCACUCUUACGAGGAGAAGACCUUUUCAUGUGUAUGGACAUACAGCUCGUUGAAGCACUGUGUGGCUUCCAGAAGCCAAUAUCUACUCUUGACAACCGAACCAUCGUCAUCACCUCUCAUCCAGGUCAGAUUGUCAAGCAUGGAGAUAUCAAGUGUGUACUAAAUGAAGGCAUGCCAAUUUAUCGUAGACCAUAUGAAAAGGGUCGCCUAAUCAUCGAAUUUAAGGUAAACUUUCCUGAGAAUGGCUUUCUCUCUCCUGAUAAACUG
rnacentral:lncRNA from 10 species